CAGUAGCCGCGGUAAUACGUAGGUGGCGAGCGUUGUCCGGAAUCAUUGGGCGUAAAGGGAGCGCAGGCGGGCAUAUAAGUCUUUCUUAAAAGUUCGGGGCUCAACCCCGUGAUGGGAAAGAAACUAUAUGUCUUGAGUACAGGAGAGGAAAGCGGAAUUCCCAGUGUAGCGGUGAAAUGCGUAGAUAUUGGGAGGAACACCAGUGGCGAAGGCGGCUUUCUGGACUGCAACUGACGCUGAGGCUCGAAAGCCAGGGGAGCGAACGGGAUUAGAUACCCCAGUAGUCCCUGUCUCUUAUACA
rnacentral:rRNA from 1 species